CCAGACUCCUACGGGAGGCAGCAGUGAGGAAUAUUGGUCAAUGGUCGGGAGACUGAACCAGCCAAGCCGCGUGAGGGAGGAAGGUACAGAGUAUCGUAAACCUCUUUUGUCAGGGAACAAAGGCGGGGACGUGUCCCCGGAUGAGUGUACCUGAAGAAAAAGCAUCGGCUAACUCCGUGCCAGCAGCCGCGGUAAUACGGAGGAUGCGAGCGUUAUCCGGAUUUAUUGGGUUUAAAGGGUGCGUAGGUGGUUAAUUAAGUCAGCGGUGAAAGUUUGUGGCUCAACCAUAAAAUUGCCGUUGAAACUGGUUGACUUGAGUAUAUUUGAGGUAGGCGGAAUGCGUGGUGUAGCGGUGAAAUGCAUAGAUAUCACGCAGAACUCCGAUUGCGAAGGCAGCUUACUAAACUAUAACUGACACUGAAGCACGAAAGCGUGGGGAUCAAACAGGAUUAGAUACCCCAGUA
rnacentral:rRNA from 1 species